ACUCUGCAACACUGGCGGCUGGCCCUGCCGCGCUCGCCAAACGAGAAAAGCUCCCCCAAAACCUCGCAUAACGCUCGCCCUCCGUCGGCGACGAGCACUCCGCCGCGGCCUCGCGCUGCCUCCCAGCUCUCCUCUACUCCACCCCUGUACGAGGUUCCUCCCCGACCGGCGUGGCUGGGGGCGGAGACGCAUGGGGAUCGUCUUGGCCUCACCGACGACCGCCUCGACCGUACCGUCCCCGCCGUCGACCUCUGUUCCGCGCCGCCUGUGUCCCCAUGCUCCACUAGAAGACAAGCGGAGAUAGGUGCAGGAGAGGUUAUGCAGCCCAUGUACAGCAGAUGGUUACCUGAUGACAUAUAUGUGUUUUUUACCUCCAACUUCUUCUUACGCACAAUUGUGAACUUUGAUCUUCAGACAAUCUUACAGGCAAGCAAAAAUUUAAAGCAGAUCUGGUUCUUGUCUCUUUUGUAGUGUUUGCGGUGUGUGUUUGAUGAAUCCCUUUCACAUUUAACAAUAUUUUUAUCCUACAUUCCUACUCAUUGGUUGUAGCCUUGUAGGCUCUUGAUCAACCAAAUAAUAUCCAUCCCAUUCCUGCUUUACGAUGACGCACAGUUUUGUUAGUGGCAAGCAACACAUGGUGGAGCUCCCACUACAUGGGCAUGAUGCACACUGGAAGUAGGGAGCCAGGGAGGUCUCACUACAUAUGAAGGUUCUCUCUAGGGUGUUGGCUACUUGGCUGCGAUAACUUUGUUACUAUUGGGGAACUAGGAAGAACUCCAUGUUGCUACUUGCCUGGGGGCAGAAUCGUCCAAUGUCCAAGAAGGUGCUGGGACCCUCCCCCGUUUGGUUAAGUUAAAAUCAAAGACUAAUAUCGGUUGACUAGGUGCAGAUAGCAGCCUGGUUCGUGCUGGAGUGACCCAGCUAGCUAGAUCUAUCUCAGUCAGAUCUACAGGGAGCCGAAUGGAUUCUCCUUUCGGUACCGUUAUUGACUUUAUUGGCACCAUUCGACGUGCUGAAGCUAAAGGAAAUACCAGCUGCACUGAGGAAGCCAUGUACUAUGAACUAUUCUCACCGGGAAAAAGUCUGGAAAGUUAAUUGGCAUCAGCGUCGUCCCUUGUAUUACGCCAACAUGGUCUUACAUUUUAACUCUGUCAACAGCAGCUACUCCUACGCCAUCUGAUAGACAGUCUGUUCUUUGUCAAAUAAUCCAUUUGAAGGGUGACAUAUAUACUACAGUCUGUCUGUU